AUUUCAUCAGACCAAGUGAAGAAUCUAGAAGGGAACAAAGGAAAAGUUUCCCUCCCCUCCAGUUUUGGUGCCCAGUGGGGGGCGCAUCACUGGCUGGACACUACUUGCUCUGCUGUGGCAACUGAGAGAUCCCAGGACCUCGGACGAGAGCUGGCCGAAGAAUUUCCCCCCGUUUGAGAAAUUUACGCCUGUUCAAAGUGCCUGAAACACUGCCACGGGGUCAGGACCCUUGUUGGAAAAAGUCCUCUCCGGGGGAUAGUUCGUCUGUUUUGGUCUCUGCAAAGGUCCAACCUCAAGCUGCAGAAGCCGACGCCCAGAGCGGCCCGGCUCCCGGCAGCCCGGCCUCCAGGCCGCUGCGAUCAACCAGCUGGUGCAAAGACCAGCCACCACUGCGUGACCCUGACCUUCUCCGGCAGGUGCUUUCUGCAGAUAAUGCCCAUACUUCACCUUCAAUCUGGGGAUGAUUAACCAGAGAAAAGAUGAUCUUAGUCUCUGUGGCAGCAUUGAUCUCUACAAAAGUUUUAGGCUUCUGUGGGGAGGAAUGUUCUGGAAUGAACUGAGUUCUUCCACGUGCCCAUUCAGGUCUUGCGGACUGGGGAAGUUUGGGGCUGGCCUGUACACCUUCCAGACUCAGACACAAAUACCUUUAUCAGGCCUAGCCCUACAGAACCCUGAUUAUGAAACCAGAGAACCCUGCCGACUUCCUCCUCCUCCCAUGUACCCAGCCGGUACCCAGAUUGCAUGCCUGCCUCUCUGCUGUGCUCACAAGAACAGAAGCUUUGUUCUCCGCUCUGUGUUCAAUGACUUUUUAUCCACAUGGGCUUGGGAAGGCCCGGGACACUUGAGACCUCGCUGAUUUUCACAGUUUACAUUAGAGUCCUGAAUUCAACCCUCGGAAGAGAUGUCCCCCAGUGGGUAAGAACAGUGGCAAUCUUUUCUCUUUAUGAAGUGUGCACGAAACAAAAAAUAAAACUCAUGUCUGUGGAAGAGCUGGAAAGAGCCACCAAUGUGUCGCGCACCUACCAAAUUUGACUUCUUUCUGAAGACGCAGUGUGCUCCCACAUCCUACCAUCCAAUCUCUGAGAACGUUCGCCAGGCUGGUAGAAGGAAUGCCGUGGGUUUUCUUAUUUCAUCCUCCAGGUAAACUCAUUGGUGCUCAUUUUAAAAUAAUAGCUUAAAAAAUGUUUUCCCCAUAACGUCAAGGCAGAAUCUGACCGCCACAACGGCUUUCAUGUUGGAAAAGGUAAAAGUUAAUGACUCCGCUGAGCCAUAAUGAUCUUCAGCACAUGCCCCUGCCCUGCGACAGAGUCUAAUUAAGCACAGAUCAUAGAAUGAUUUAGGACACACCCUGCUGGGAAUGGCAAGAUACACAAGACCCAGGCCUCGGCCUCCGAAGCGAACAAUCUUGUCAUCAUAUUGGCUGCUCGCCACAGAGCCGGGCAUCUGUGCCAAGCGCGGAAGCUACCCUCACCAUAGCUGGAAACCCCAUCUUUCCUACCAGCAAACAAGAUUGGAAGAAAUUAGGCAACUGCUCCAGGUCAAACAGCUACCGAUCACAGGAGCCAGAUUUCAAAUCCAGGGCUGGCUGACCCCAAAGCUCCCACCAUUUUCCACUAGUCUACAGUAUCUCUCCGUUUAGCCAGGGAGCCUUCUCGGUCAGGGUCCUAUCAGGAGACAGACACCAGACCCCUUCUCAGAAGCUGUUCACCAACCAGAAGGGUAAAGAGGGAACUCUUAAGGUAGCAUGAAGGCAGCGUCUAUGGGAAGCAGCUCCUACCCCAGGGCCGAGGAAACAAAGGAAGGAGGUUUGGAGUGAUUGGCAAAUCUUAGAAUGGAGAGAAUAGGCCCCAUGGAACUGAGACCUGGGCCUCUGAAAGUUAGAAAGCUACUUGCUGGUGCUGGCAGCCCUGAGCUCAAAGGAGUCUGGGGCCCACACUCUGAGAAGCCCGGGGGUGCUGUCUUUGAGGAUGAUACCAGAAAGUGGGUUCUAUGUGUUUGGAAAGUGCAAACUGGGGUCAGCUUCUGUGAUAGGAAGGAACUGCGUCCGCUGGGGUGACACACCCAGACCAGGGAGCAGACAGGAAAGAGCAACUCUCCUCCUCCUUCCACCUUGUGGCACCCCCCACCCAGCCCUCCUGUUGGCAGGACCUCCCGUGGGGCCGGCUAGCUGAGCAGAGACGCGGUUUGCAGGGACCCAGCGAAGAGAAGGGUGGGCUUCAAGUUGAAAGGCAAGUACCAGGAGGCAAGAUAGGGACCUACGAAAACAUCAUUGAAGAUACUAUAUGGUCAUGUCUCUGAUGACUCUGUAUGUUGUGAAUUUCAUAGAAUUGAGAAGCCAGUCGAUGGUUCUGUGUAAGGCUCUUGCUGCUGGGUGUGGAUGUCCUCGGGGGCAGGGACUUUGGCUUCUUCAUGCUUCCAUCCCCAACAUCUUGCUGGCACUAGAAAGAUGCCCAACAAGGGCUGGUUAAGCAAAGGAGUAACUCCAUCGUGUGAACCCUUGUAAAGCUACACGGAUUUUGUCGCUGGAGUUUGCAGGGCCAGUUCUGAGCCCCACAGGCUGGUCUUACCCUGACCCAGCUUCGGAGUUGUGGAGGAUAAAAGGGAUUGGUUACUGUAAGUGACAGCAGGUCCUUGCUAAGGGAUGACAGAGUUGGGGGCAGGGUCUUCUGGCUCUGGCUCCCCGAGGGAGUAGCCAUGCUCAGGAUGCUUCCUCAGGGCUGUGUUUCUCUUCCAGGAUGUUCAGCCCUGCCUCUGACACCAGCACCAUCUUGUUCUUUCUGGUUCCUGUCCCUUCCUUGUGUCUUGCUAUUCUUAGCCCCGGGAACAUGUGUGUUUGCCUGAAGUCAUGGACACACACACUUCCAUGAUCACAGGACGUGCUUAGAAGCCUGGAAUGGAGGUGGAGUGGAGUCUGGGUCCCGGAGAGGGAUAAGGCCGGGUUCCUGGGAGCUCAGCACAUCAGCUCUGGGUCACGUUGCUGGAAAGGGGACUUUGAGGUCUCCUCAUUCAAUGUCCUCAUCUUGCAGAUACAGAAACUGAGACUCAGAGGUGGAGAGUAACGGUCUUCCUCAAACUCUUGCAGUGGGUGAGCCCAUCCAGAGUUUUUACAGAGUUCUUGCACAGUGCCCUAUGGCUCCCUGCCCCUCUUUCCAGCGCACUUUCAAUUGAAUGCAAACAUCUCAGUAGAAUUUACUUGAUGCUGGGCAUAGAGCUUUUGUGCAUCGCCAGCGUCCUGAGUUGAAUUGAAUUAAACCUUUUCUUUUGGAAGAUCCUUGGGCAUUCUGAAUUAGUUUCACCUUGAGGGUUUUAUUUAGUAUAACAUAACGCAACACAGCAUGGUAUAGUAUAGUAUAAUAUUUUGUUCUAAAUAUAACUGUUACAUAAUGCACACAUACACAUAUGUAAACAUGUAUUAAUAAUAAAAGAAAUAAACAUAUAUAAUCUAAAUCCUUCUGAACUAGACUUUCCCAGCAAUAUUUCCAACCAAAUGGCAAUUUAGUUUACAUACAGUGGCUUACAGAGGAUUUUUCUUUAAGGAUUUAGCAUGGAUUGGUAACAAAUUGAUACUUGGUGAGAGUUCUGUGGGUAGCCAAGAUUUGUCCCACUGUUUCAUUCCAUUAAAUGAGUGAUCCUAACAGCCACAUGGCAGCUGGCAUCAGGACAAGCAGAAGCGACUGGAGGAGGGGAGGGUCAGGUCAUCGGAAGUCUCUCAAGGCCCCGAGAACAGCUGGUCAGCAUCACAAUCCCCUCACUGCUCAUUUCCCGCCCUCCUCCCUCCCAGCUUCUUAGGUCCCUCCCCAGCACUCUCCUGGCUCAGCCAAACUUAACUCUUGGGGUGACCUUGCUUUGUGAGCACUGAGCCUUCUGUGCAGAUAAACUCACAAGCAGUUCUUGGAAAAGCUGUGGUAAGAUGAGGCUGAAGGAGAAAUUUCCUCCCAUGCUUCCAGCAAACUUUCUUGAGCCCUUUAUGGUUCUGAGAUCAUGUGGGAUCACAGACCCAGGAAGCUUACUGAACAAGAGAAUGAUUCUAGUUGCCCAAAGACACUUGCAUUUGAGACCCCAAAUAUAUAACAAAUGUGGGCUCUCAUCUAGUCUCUGAGGCACGAGGAUGAAAUUUUAAUCGAACAUUAAUUUUUAAAUUCUAUUCUUUUGGAAACCCUGUGGUAUGUAAGUCCAGGACAAAGAAGAUAAAAGGAGCUAUUCAGGGUUAAACGUAAAACAAGAUGACAACUGAGAAAAAUCGAACACAGCCCUCAUUCGUCCUCUGGUAUCUGUCCCCUCUGUGGGCAUUUUCAGUGUUGUGUAUCCACAAAGACAAAUAUAUCUGUAGCCAACAUAUUAUUUGGGGGGCAGGAGAGCUGAAAUUUUCUUCUGAUUAUAAAAGUAAUAAAAUCUUGCUGUAGAAAUCUAGAAAGUACCAACACAUGUAACAGGAGAAAAGUAAACCAUCCAUAAUUUUGUUAUCAUUUUGAUAUUUCUUUUUCUAGAUCAUACUAAAUAUACCACUUUAUAUAGUCUUUUUUCCUACACACACUAUUUAUAAAUACUGUAUUUGCAAGCCUGUGUUUUAUAUCAUCACAUAUAUUUUUCUUCUUUGUUUUCAUUGUUACAUUUCCCUUUAAAAAAAAAAACUGUUAUAAAGAACUCUGAAAUGAACAUCUUUGUGCAUGGAAAGAUUUCCAGAAGUGAGACUUUUGAACCAAAAAGUAUAAGUUAAGGCUCUCUAUAUAUUGCAAAAUGUCUUUCCCAGAAAGGGAUUCUAAUAUCACAGAUCCUCUUGUAGGAACUUGUAUGACAGCAUCAGUUUCAUACAAACUAGCAGGUCUCAAGCAUUUUCUCUUUUGGUUUUAAAGAACUGAUUCAAUACAAUAGUAAGAAAACUACACAAUUACUGCUUUUCUUUAUGUAGACUUUUGAACAUUAAUAAGGUUGAAUAUGUUAAUUCAAUAUAUAUUGGCCAUGAGACAGGGACUGUGUCUAUUUUGCUCACUGCUGAAUCCUUAGCACUAAGAGGAGUGCCUCACAUAUAAAAGUCAUCCAAUAAAUACUUUUCAAAAUGAAUUUUUAAAUGAUAUCCUUUGGCCAUUUAUCUAUUAGGAAAUAAUGUGUUUAAUGAUCUGAUAUUUGAAAAUGAUUGGAUCCCAUCCUGGGAAGACUAAGAGUUUGUAAUCCAGUUAUAAAAAGUAGCAUGCAAGUUACAUUUCUACAUAUAUGAAUUGGCUUACCUCU